rnacentral:rRNA from 1 species
GACGAACGCUGGCGGCGUGCUUAACACAUGCAAGUCGAGCGGAGCUGCGAACGGGUGAGUAACGCGUGAGUAACUGCCCCCCUCUCUGGGAUAACAGUUGGAAACGGCUGCUAAUACCGGAUAGUGGGGGAUGACUCGCGUCCUAUCAGCUUGUUGGUGGGGUAGUGGCCUACCAAGGCGACGACGGGUAGCCGGCCUGAGAGGGCGACCGGCCACAGUGGGCUGAGAUACGGACCAAACGCCUACGGGAGGAAGCAGUGGGGAAUAUGGCACGAUGGGGGAAACGCGGAUGCAGAAACGCCGCGUGCUGGAGGACGGCCUUCGGGUGGUAAACCGCUUUCAGCGAGGACGCGGUAGUGGCAGAAGAAGCACCGGCUAACUACGUGCCAACAGCCGCGGUAAUUC